rnacentral:misc_RNA from 1 species
CUGGGACUGAAUUUUCUUUCUAAGUUCAUCAACAUAUUCAGCAGAUACACGUUGUUCCACUGAUGGGAAUGACUUCUCAGCCUUGACUGAAAGCAGCUGCUGCUCAAGAUGAUAUAUCUUUUCCUGCAGUUCCUUGUUCUCUGAACACUUGUUUUGCAGCUCCUCCUGAAGAAUCCUAUUGUCUGCUGAUUUUAUCUCAAGCUCAAAGCCCGUUUGACUAUACUGUGUCAUCAAUUUCAUCAGAGUCUGCUGCAUUUCUACUAACGAUGCUUUUGAAACUGACGCUUCACCGUUUUCAACAAUGCGCUGUUCCAGCAUCCUCAUUUGAUUUCUCUUUUCUUGGAUUUCACGCUCUAAAUUUUCAAUUUGGUUUCUUGAACUCUCAGGAUCAUUUACAG